AAAGAAGCUGUACCUGAGCCUGCUGGUGCGGGAGCACAGGCUCCUGUAUCGCCUGCCAGAUGGGAGUCGACUGAAAAGACCACGGAAACAGGUGGUCUGGUGUAUCUUACCCUGGUUGCUGCAUGAGGUAGCACUGUUCCCCAUCAGAACUGUAUUUGAUCUCCUUCUGUGAACUGUCUGUGUGUUUGCAGCUCUGGGCCCAGAGGAAGGAGGUAAAAGGGACUUGCCUCCUGACCCCUUACCUACCUACCCGCACCUUACGCUCCACUGAUGCCCACCUCCUAUCCACCCCACUGCACAUCUCCGUUCCAUGGGUGACAGGGCUUUUAGCGUGGCUGGCCCCAAACUCUGGAACUCCCUUCCACUCCCACAAACUCUGUGAUUAAUUAAUCUAAAUCAAUCACAUGCAUCCAUUUUUGCUAUGAACUUAUCUUAACAUCAAUUUUGUCAGAUGAGUGAAUCAAUGAAGAGCCAAACCAUCUUUAUAAACUUUAAAGUUCAACUUCUCUCUUUUAUGAUCAUUUCCCCUUUGGCUCAGGCAUCAGUAGUUCCUGGUGUCAGAUUUUUAGUAUGAUGCAAAUGACUGAAGCUACAAAUCACUGUCAAUGGCAUGUGCAGAGUAAGCUACCCUAACACCAAGUAGGUGGCAGUCAAAGAUAAGAAAACGCAGGGCUCUAAGAAAACGAGAAAAAAAAGCAGCAUAGCCUACAAGUGCGAAUCGAAAUGCAAUGUGUGAAUUUAUUGGAAUGGAAAUAAAUGUAACCACCUUCAACAUACUUUUGAAGACAUUUUGUUUCAAGUGUGCAACACAUGUACUCAAUUUAGUAAGGGAGUUUGUCGGUUAGUUAGUUAGUCAGUCGUAGUGUAGGCCUAUAGGCUAAGCAAACAAUACGCUAC